rnacentral:rRNA from 1 species
UACGUAGGGUGCAAGCGUUGUCCGGAAUUAUUGGGCGUAAAGAGCUCGUAGGCGGUUUGUCGCGUCGGCCGUGAAAACUGGAGGCUUAACCUUCAGCUUGCGGUUGAUACGGGCAGACUUGAGUUCGGUAGGGGAGACUGGAAUUCCUGGUGUAGCGGUGAAAUGCGCAGAUAUCAGGAGGAACACCGGUGGCGAAGGCGGGUCUCUGGGCCGAUACUGACGCUGAGGAGCGAAAGCGUGGGGAGCGAACAGG